UAACACGUAGGAGGCAAACGUUAUCCGGAUUUACUGGGCGUAAAGCGCGUGUAGGUGGUUCUGUAAGUAGGGCGUGAAAGCUCCUGGCUCAACUGGGAGAGGCCGUUCUAAACUGCAGAGCUAGAGGAUGGUAGAGGGAGGUGGAAUUCCGGGUGUAGCGGUGGAAUGCGCAGAUAUCCGGAGGAACACCAGUGGCGAAAGCGGCCUCCUGGACCAUUCCUGACACUCAGACGCGAAAGCUAGGGUAGCAAACGGGAUUAGAGACCCCGGUAGUCCUAGCCCUAAACGAUGUAGACUUGGCGUCGGUGGCUUAAUCGUCAUCGGUGUCGUAGCUAACGCGAUAAGUCUACCGCCUGGGGACUACGGCCGCAAGGUUAAAACUCAAAGGAAUUGACGGGUCCCCGCAC
rnacentral:rRNA from 1 species